rnacentral:rRNA from 1 species
UACGAAGGGGGCUAGCGUUGCUCGGAAUCACUGGGCGUAAAGCGCACGUAGGCGGCUUAUUAAGUCAGGGGUGAAAUCCUGGAGCUCAACUCCAGAACUGCCUUUGAUACUGAUGAGCUUGAGUUCGGGAGAGGUGAGUGGAACUGCGAGUGUAGAGGUGAAAUUCGUAGAUAUUCGCAAGAACACCAGUGGCGAAGGCGGCUCACUGGCCCGGUACUGACGCUGAGGUGCGAAAGCGUGGGGAGCAAACAGG